GGAGCAUGUGGUUUAAUUCGAAGCAACGCGAAGAACCUUACCAGGUCUUGACAUCCCUGACAACCCGAGAGAUCGGGCGUUCCCCUUCGGGGGACAGGGUGACAGGUGGUGCAUGGUUGUCGUCAGCUCGUGUCGUGAGAUGUUGGGUUAAGUCCCGCAACGAGCGCAACCCUCGACCUUAGUUGCCAGCAUUCAGUUGGGCACUCUAAGGUGACUGCCGGCUAAAAGUCGGAGGAAGGUGGGGAUGACGUCAAAUCAUCAUGCCCCUUAUGACCUGGGCUACACACGUGCUACAAUGGGCGGUACAAAGGGUCGCGAACCCGCGAGGGGGGAGCCAAUCCCAAAAAGCCGCUCUCAGUUCGGAUUGCAGGCUGCAACUCGCCUGCAUGAAGCCGGAAUCGCUAGUAAUCGCGGAUCAGCAUGCCGCGGUGAAUACGUUCCCGGGCCUU
rnacentral:rRNA from 1 species